rnacentral:rRNA from 1 species
UACGUAGGGUGCAAGCGUUGUCCGGAAUUAUUGGGCGUAAAGAGCUCGUAGGCGGUUUGUCGCGUCUGCCGUGAAAGUCCGGGGCUCAACUCCGGAUCUGCGGUGGGUACGGGGCAGACUAGAGUGAUGUAGGGGGAGACUGGAAUUCCCCGGUGUAGUGGUGAAAUGCGUAGAUAUCGGGAGGAACACCAGUGGCGAAGGCGACUACCUGGCCUGUUCUUGACGCUGAGGCGCGAAAGCUAGGGGAGCAAACGGGG